rnacentral:rRNA from 1 species
AGUGAACGCUGGCGGUAGGCCUAACACAUGCAAGUCGAACGGCAGCACAGUAAGAGCUUGCUCUUACGGGUGGCGAGUGGCGGACGGGUGAGGAGUACAUCGGAAUCUACUUUUUCGUGGGGGAUAACGUAGGGAAACUUACGCUAAUACCGCAUACGACCUACGGGUGAAAGCAGGGGAUCUUCGGACCUUGCGCGAUUGAAUGAGCCGAUGUCGGAUUAGCUAGUUGGCGGGGUAAAGGCCCACCAAGGCGACGAUCCGUAGCUGGUCUGAGAGGAUGAUCAGCCACACUGGAACUGAGACACGGUCCAGACUCCUACGGGAGGCAGCAGUGGGGAAUAUUGGACAAUGGGCGCAAGCCUGAUCCAGCCAUACCUCGUGGGUGAAGAAGGCCUUCGGGUUGUAAAGCCCUUUUGUUGGGAAAGAAAAGCAGCAGGUUAAUACCCCGCUGUUCUGACGGUACCCAAAGAAUAAGCACCGGCUAACUUCGUG